GAUGAACGCUGGCGGCGUGCUUAACACAUGCAAGUCGAACGAAGCGCUUUUAUUUGAUUUCUUCGGAAUGAAGAUUUUAGUGACUGAGUGGCGGACGGGUGAGUAACGCGUGGGUAACCUGCCUCAUACAGGGGGAUAACAGUUAGAAAUGACUGCUAAUACCGCAUAAGACCACAGUACCGCAUGGUACAGGGGUAAAAACUCCGGUGGUAUGAGAUGGACCCGCGUCUGAUUAGGUAGUUGGUGGGGUAACGGCCUACCAAGCCGACGAUCAGUAGCCGGCCUGAGAGGGUGACCGGCCACAUUGGGGCGGAGACACGGCCCAAACUCCUACGGGAGGCAGCAGUGGGGAAUAUUGCACAAUGGGGGAAACCCUGAUGCAGCGACGCCGCGUGAGCGAUGAAGUAUUUCGGUAUGUAAAGCUCUAUCAGCAGGGAAGAAAAUGACGGUACCUGACUAAGAAGCACCGGCUAAAUACGUGCCAGCCGCCGCCGUAA
rnacentral:rRNA from 1 species